UAUUCAGGACAGUACUAAAUGAAAAUAACAUGAAUUUUGUAUGAACCCCUCUUAUUUUGUUAAAAUUAUUCAUAUUUUCACAGAUUCUCCAAGGGGGACACAAACUUUCAAGCAGCACUGUAUAUAUAUAUAUAUAUAUAUCAAUGUCUAUAGUGUUGUAUUGGUAUAACACAUCAAUGUUUACAGUGUGGUAUCGGUAUAAAAAGGUAAUCCUAAUUCUCCCUGGGGUAGUCCUGAGCUUGAAACCAAUAGCAGGGAUUUUCACAGGCCUGUCGAGUGCGAGACAAUAUAAAAAGUCUAAAAAUGUGUGAUGACACACUGGUUUCAUUUGCUAUUCUUCUCACGGCUGUUUCGAUGUGCCGUUCUGACACGGCUUCUUUAUUCUAUGCUGAUGCUCAAUCCCCCUCCGGCUGAUACCUGAGACGUGACAGUUACCAGGGACUUAAGUUCUUCAACCUGGCAAAUUCUUUUAUUUUUUUUUCUUCUUUGCUUUUCUCUCCUCUAGAAUGUCCUCUGGGGUCUGAAACCUGCUGUGUUUGUUUUCAGUUAAAAGGAAACGUACAUGUAAAGCAAUUAUUUAUUUAAUAAAUACAUAGCCUAUUUAAAGAAAUCAUUGAUAUUCCGUACGCCUCUCAAGGUUAUACAUUCAGCGACAUUAAAUUACAUCAUAUCACCUUGUUUAUCCUGACUAGAAGUGGAAUUCCUGAGCUAUUAAUAGCUGGCAAUGACAUCAUGCUCGACCCCGAUCACCGCAAUGUCCUUUCACACCUAACCUGCAAAACGCAUGGCUGCCUUCUCUUCUGCCCGUCAGUUGUCUUGGUAACAGCCACCAGAGGUGUAGAAAUGAACAUCUGACCACAAGACAAAGAUGAGAAUCAGAUAUUACAAUCAGCUAGAAGAGGCUUGUAAAACCCACUGCUUUUUAUAAUCAAAAUUGAGCACCAAAAAUGAAAACGGGCAUAGCGUUGGUGCUGCACAGUGUAAAUGUCUGAGUUUAAACACCACAGCUGUUGAAUAGCAUCUGCAGGCUAUUUAUGUUAUAUAGUGUCGUCAGACUUGACAGGUAUCAGCACUUACCCGUCCAAACUGAAUUUCAAAUGAACUGCUGCGUUAUUCUGCUAUUUAUGGCUCGCACUCAGCGUGAGAGUGACGUCUCAAAGCACAGUGUUUGCCGCUGCCGUGAUGUGUUUGGUGUCAAACAAAAGGCCCUCUGACCAGCACUCUGGGACCGUUAGGUGCUACGUGGAUGAUAACAUCUCUGUGGCUGCUUUAUCAAUAACAUUAAACAGUGACUUUUAGAGUCAUGUUUCUGUUGGCUGCUAUACACAAAUAUUUUUAUUGCUUCUAUUUCUAAUUUACUCUUCUUAAAGAUGAAAUUUCUGCACUAUUAGCGUCACCAAAUGGAAUAGAAAAAGCUGUUUUCAAAAUGCAUUGUGUGCCAUACUGUAUCCCAUAAUGCAAUGCCCUCAACUUGACUUUCCCCUUCCCAGUAUGAUGAAUGAACUGUAAAAGUAAUUACAGCCAAAAUUCAAACAUGUUUAUUUUUAAUCAUCAUUUGAUCAAGAUUGCACUUAAAUUAGCUGUAUUUAUUUACAAGACACUAAUUGGACAGCUCUUACUUCAUACAAUGCGAUGAGGUCAUGAGACAUCAAUGAAGCAUACAGUUGUUUAUUUAGCAAUAUAUUACUUUAAAAAUCAGUUUACAGUGUAUACUUGAAGCUGCAAAUUAAGAAACAUCAAAAUCAUGAGUUUAAUUAUCAAGUAACAUACAGAAGGACAAAGUAUACUGUAACUUAGUCAGAAUAAAACUAAGUGUCUGCAGUUGCAAUGUAUGUUGUGUGUGUGUUGGAUGUACUUUGGUUUGAGUUGAUAUGAAUCAGAGACUGUAUCAGGGGGAAAAUUUUUGACCUUUCUCAGAGUGAUCGGUGAGAUUAUGUGGAAAUGAGACAAGAACUGAAACUGAAAAACCAAAAGCAGCUGGGAAUAACAAUGGUAAAAUUUGUAUUUGUGACCUUUCAAUCGUGCAUACUGUUAAUAUAAAUGUCACCUUUGGACUGUAACCAUACAACAAAGAAAAGUGUGUGACUUUCAUGUUAAUCACAUUUUUUAAACAGGAUUCAAUGUCAUAUUUGGUGCAAAAUCAUUAGAAACUCAUAAAACGGUUGAUGCUGCAUAAUUACAACUUGAGUAUGUGCUCUUUUUGGGAACCCCUCCAUACCAGAUAAACCCGAAAUAAACCAAAGACAUGAAGAAGUAUUUUCAUGCUGCAGUGUGCCAGGUUAUUAAUUUUAAAAGUCGCAUCCUCAUGCGUUUUUUUUUUUUUUAGGGACUAGCCCUGCUUGUGCUGCCCCAUAAAGCACUAGAGGGGGAGUCUGCCUCCCCCUGGCAUCCUGCUGUAAAAUCCUGGGUGUAAUUGUAGCGUACUGAGGCAGAACAGGAGUAAUCAGAUCAGUCCCGAGGCUGGGAACAUACAUGGAGAUACAGCAUCAGCACUGGAUUAAACCCCCCACCACGUCCCCCUUUACUGAUUGAGGUACGAUGAGUUCCUGCAAGUAGAGAGAGGGAGAGGGAGCGAGGAAAAGCCGUGAGAGGGAGUGGGAGGAAGAAUGAACCAGAAAGGGAGGCAGCGCAGUGCGAGUGAGCGAGAGAGAGGGAUGGGGAGGGAGUCAAAGGCAGGAAGCGAGCAACAGACAGUGGAACAGAAAUGCAAGGAGUUUGAGGGAGAGGGUGGAAAACAGAGGCCGACCGCCAACGAGAGGACGACGGGAGCGAAGCAAGGUGAGAGAGAAAGAAGGGCAAGGGUCCAGAGGAAGAAAACACACCGGGAUAACAUCAACGGGAGGAAGCAAGACACGGGAAGGUGGGGGUCAGAGUGAAGAAACAUGCAAGAGAAAGUUUGAAGGCAGGGCAGAUGAGAAAAACAUCUCCUGGUAAUGACAAGGCCGGGGCACUUAAAGAAGGGACACAUCCUCUCGAGAGUCCCCUUCUUAGGCCGCAGAAUGUUCUCUGAGACAAAAGGGGUCGGGGAGCAACGCAUUCAACCCACCACCCCAACCCAACUUCAACUACAAAACGGACUACAAAGACCUCAAGCUGACCUCCUUGCCUAUUUUGGGAAUGGGAACCAUGUAACGAACACCUGUGGACCAAAGCAGCAGAAUUCCCCCCUGAAUGGAUACACUGCCAAGCAAUGUCUAGCCGUUCAGGGGGGUCAUGCGCCGCAAAACGUAACUAGCCAGAUUUGUCAUGCCAGUGUGCAGUGGAGCCGGCCGUCAGGGAAGGGUCUGCAACAUAACAGCAUCUCUGUGAACUACAGCUUGAGAGAAUGCAGCUUUGUGGUCCACCGGCACCAGACUGAGCCACACCCCUUCUUGAGGAAGUGUGCUCUGGACGCGCCAACACAGUUCAGAGGUCAUGGAAACUGUGGAGUGCCUGUUUGUGUGGCGGAGCAACAAUCAGGCUCUGUGCGAGGGGCCCUGCUUACAGAGCAACAUGCAUCAAACUGGAUGGAUGCAAGUGACACUCACAAUUCGACCUUUAAUAGGGAACUUUGCACUUCUAAUGGACAGGGAACUUUACGUCGAUGUCUGGGACAUGUAAUGCAAGACUUGAACGGACCUAGUCUGGUGAACGAAGCUAUGCUGUCUACCAAAGAUGUCAACAAACCCAAUACUGUCGCCCAAGGGGAUCUCAAUGGACCAGGACGAGGGAUUUUCAGCUCUAAGCAGUCGGAAAGAGCUAUUCGGGACCAGAUCCAAAGAGUUGUUGUGAAUCUCGAGGAGGUUUUAACUGGCCUGAAAGAGAUACAUCUGGAAAUGAAGGAGGUGGUCCAGAAGAUAGACCUGCUGACGGCUGACAUUGAUAUGGGCAAAGAGGAACCAGGGGACACUUUCAGAGGACGACAGUCAGGAAAGAUGGACACUGAAGCGGCGUCCUCUCAAGGAGUCCACUCCGACAAGCCAUCCUUCAAAACACCAACUCCAUCUGUGUCUCCACCUCCAUAUCCCAUCAGAGAUCAAGGGCUGCAUGAGGCAGGGCAAAAACUGGAACCCAAUCAGAAGAUGCUGAACUCUCAAAGACAUACAUCAGGGACCGCUUCAGGGCGCAGGAGCCAGAAGCCUCCUCCUUACCCUUAUGCCAGCACAACGGCAAGAGUGAAUCCUAAAGCAAAAGACAAAGGGCAGAAGACGCCACCCUACCCCUUUAAACGGAGACUGCUCUCGACCAUUGUUUGAGCAGACCGUGGCCUUAGGAUACAAAGCGGAGCAUUACUCACUAUAUGUGGUAUACCGUGUUACAGGCACCUUUCUGAAAUAAUCAAAGGAUUCUGGCAUACCCCAAAGAUUUUGUGGGAAUUCUCUACAAGCGUGCCAUUACACCAGCUUAAGAAAGUUUUUCCACGGCUGUGUGAACCCUACUGUAAGUAGCAAUAUGCAGACUCACCAGCAGAUUCUGACACAAUGUACUCCUCUUCCUUCAAAGCAACAUCCCUCUGUCCACCCACAGCCGUCUGGGACUGAGAAGAAGAGAAAGCAGAGGAUGAGUGACAAGACAUUAACGGAGAAGCCUAGAGGAGUGGGCUGAAUAACAAAGAGAUCUUGUGUAAAAAAACAAAACAAAAAGAGACAUGAGCCUAUGGAGCGCCUGUUUCAAACAUGCUUUUGAACUUUUCUUAUUUACACCGGGGACAAGGCCACCAGAACGUCACCGUCAUCCCGCUACUGAGAAUGUCAGUGCAAUCUGAAGAUGAAGACCUUUUCACGAAGUCUUGAUAUGCAACACCUGUACAAAAAGGGCUGACUGCUUUUGAUCUGAGAGCGACGAGCGUUAGGAAUCUGAAUUAAGGUUUGAUCUGCGGCAAAUAUCAAUGUCAUGACUGAGGAUAAAUUUUAAACAUGCUCUUCAAAAACCUGUGCCAAUUAUUUUUAAUGCGCAAAGCACACAAAUAAAAAAGUAUCUUCUGAAUA